GACGAACGCUGGCGGCGUGCCUAAUACAUGCAAGUAGAACGCUGAAGGAGGAGCUUGCUUCUCUGGAUGAGUUGCGAACGGGUGAGUAACGUGUAGGUAACCUGCCUGGUAGCGGGGGAUAACUAUUGGAAACGAUAGCUAAUACCGCAUAAUAGUAGAUGUUGCAUGACAUUUGCUUAAAGGUGCAAUUGCAUCACUACCAGAUGGACCUGCGUUGUAUUAGCUAGUUGGUGGGGUAACGGCUCACCAAGGCGACGAUACAUAGCCGACCUGAGAGGGUGGACGGCCAAACUGGGACUGAGACACGGCCCAGACUCCUACGGGAGGGAGCAGGAGGGGAUCUUCGGCAAUGGACGGAAGGCUGAACGAGCAACGCCGCGGGAGUGAAGAAGGGUUUCGGAUCGUAAAGCUCGGUUGUAAGAGAAGAACGAGUGUGAGAGUGGAAAGUUCACACUGUGACGGUAUCUUACCAGAAAGGGACGGCUAACUACGUG
rnacentral:rRNA from 1 species